rnacentral:rRNA from 1 species
AUUGAACGCUGGCGGCAGGCCUAACACAUGCAAGUCGAGCGGAGCGGCGGACGGGUGAGUAAUGCCUAGGAAUCUGCCUGGUAGUGGGGGAUAAAGUACGGAAACGGGCGCUAAUACCGCAUACUAUCAGAUGAGCCUAGGUCGGAUUAGCUAGUUGGUGGGGUAAAGGCCUACCAAGGCGACGAUCCGUAAAUGGUCUGAGAGGAUGAUCAGUCACACUGUAACUGAGACACGGUCCAGACUCCUACGGGAGGUAGCAGUGGGUAAGAUUGGACAAUGGGCGAAAGCCUGAUCCAGCCAUGCCGCGUGUGUGAAGAAGGCCUUCGGGUUGUAAAGCACUUUCAGCGUGGAGGCGUUACCCGCAGAAGAAGCACCGGCUAACUCCGUGCCAGCAGCCGCGGUAAUUC